CCUACGGGUGGCAGCAGUAGGGAAUCUUUCACAAUGGGCGAAAGCCUGAUGGAGCAACGCCGCGUGCAGGAUGACUGCCCUCUGGUUGUAAACUGCUUUUAUAAGCGAGAAAUAUGAUGGUAACUUAUGAAUAAGGAUCGGCUAACUACGUGCCAGCAGCCGCGGUCAUACGUAGGAUCCGAGCAUUAUCCGGAGUGACUGGGUGUAAAGAGUUGCGUAGGUGGCAUAAUAAGUAGCUAGUGAAAUCUGGUGGCUCAACCAUUCAGACUAUUAGGUAAACUGUUAAGCUCGAGACCGUUAGGGGUAACUGGAAUGUCUGGUGUAGGAGUGAAAUGCGUAGAUAUUAGAAAGAACACCGAUAGCGUAGGCAGGUUACUGGGACGGUUCUGACACUAAGGCACGAAAGCGUAGGGAGCAAACGGGAUUAGAUACCCUUGUAGUC
rnacentral:rRNA from 1 species